AUCAAUCCAAAUCUCCAUUAAUUUUCUCCAUUGGGUUGGAUAUAUUCGUACCACUCAAACUUUUUAUCUCUAUUGUAGAUUUUGAUUACCUACAUCUGCUAGAGCUGUGGUUGUGUCACUGUAGUUUCAAAUUUUGGCUAUAAAUACCCACCCCAUGUUGUGAACUCCCAUUUAACCCAUAUCCAUAUCCCAAUCCUUCUGCUUGAAACCCCUCUUAUUUCCUUUGCCAGUUAUGUGCGUUGAAGUUAGUGGGUGGGAAAGCAUUGAAAUGUAUCAGUAAGGGCAUGAAACUUCUUCCAACUUCCCUUGCUAUAUUUUUGUAUUCAUCUGCUUUUUUACAGAGCUAGGAAUUGAUCAAGACAUGUAUAAUCCUGUAUGUAAGUCACAUCCAUGCUUGCUGCUAAUUUGGGGUUAUUAAAAGCUAGCUGCCUUGGGAGACUUCUGUUAACUUUCUAUUUUCUGAUUUUUGGGUUUGCUCUCUCUCUAUAAAUGAGUAGGGUGAAUAAGUUUUCCGCUGUUAAGCUGUCAAUAAGUUGAGUGCCAGGCUUAAGCUUAAUGGACUACUUUUUAUGAAUUUGUCUUACUUAUUGUCCUUUUUUAUGUAGAUCAUAUCUAAGAUGACCUUUACCUCUUAACUAAUAUCAGCUUCUAAGAUGACCACCCAUAAUUAGAGUUCUUUAUACUUGAUGACCACUUUGAUUCGUUUGAAGUGUGUACCAACUCUAAUUGAAGUAGAUUAUAUCAUGUUUCUCAGAUGAUUGAGAUUCUGCGAAGGAUAAGGGUAAUAUUAUAUCUAGAAAGUGGACUCUUUUUCCUUCCCAUUGUAUAUAUAACAUUAUAUAUUUUAAGCUUCUACUUGCUUUGCAAGUUCAUUAAGUUUUUGCUCCCUUUGGUUGUUUAUAUAAAUUUAUAUUUUCUAAUAUUGCACACCUCUUUGAAUUUGGUCUUCUUUUAGUUUUAUAUUUUCCAUUGGAUUAAUCUCGGUUAUAGUUUUUCUAGGUUGUAGCUGGAGCUACGUAAUAUGAGGAGGGCUGCUGGAAAGUUUUGAACAAGAAACCUUUCAGUGGAUCCGAGGCAUUGCAAGGAGCACUACUCAGCUGUACAUAUACUGUACUUGACUAUGCACAAACUGGAUUGAUUGCAACAUAUUUCUUCUUUAAAGAUACUCUUUAAGAUAGGAGCAGAUUCAUCAGGGACUAUCCCUGUGAACAGAGUUUGCUUGGAUUAAGAGACUUUGAUGCACACUUAAUAUUUUAUUUGUGUUACUAUAGUCAGCUAUUUCUAAGAUAAUAUGUAAUUAUGAUAUAAAUUUAAUCUGAUUGUCACAGUGUACCCACCACAUAUACCCUGGCUGAUUGAAGCAUCACAAAUUUGAAUUAAAAAGAUGUUUAGUUUCA